UACGUAGGGUGCGAGCGUUAAUCGGAAUUACUGGGCGUAAAGCGUGCGCAGGCGGUUUUGUAAGCCAGGUGUGAAAUCCCCGGGCUCAACCUGGGAAUGGCAUUUGGGACUGCAAGGCUGGAGUGUGGCAGAGGAGACUGGAAUUCCUGGUGUAGCAGUGAAAUGCGUAGAUAUCAGGAGGAAUACCGAUGGCGAAGGCAGGUCUCUGGCUGGACACUGACGCUCAUGCACGAAAGCGUGGGAGCGAACA
rnacentral:rRNA from 1 species